rnacentral:rRNA from 1 species
CGGCCCCGGUACAGCGGCGCACGGGUGAGUAACACGUAGGUAAUCUUCCCUCGAGCGGGGGAUAACCUUCCGAAAGGAGGGCUAAUACCGCAUAAGACCACAGAGACGAAAGUCUUCGAGGUCAAAGCCGGCCUCUAUACAUAAGCUGGCACUUGAGGAUGAGCCUGCGGGCCCAUCAGCUAGUUGGUAGGGUAAUGGCCUACCAAGGCGAAGACGGGUAGCUGGUCUGAGAGGAUGAUCAGCCACACUGGAACUGAGACACGGUCCAGACUCCUACGGGAGGCAGCAGUGGGAAUCUUGCGCAAUGGGGGCAACCCUGACGCAGCGACGCCGCGUGAGUGAUGAAGGCCUUCGGGUUGUAAAGCUCUGUGGAGGGAGACGAAUAAGUCGUGGCCAAUAUCCACGAUGAUGACGGUAUCCCUUUAGCAAGCACCGGCUAACUCUGUGCCAGCAGCCGCGGUAA